rnacentral:lncRNA from 1 species
GGCUCCGCCCCUCGGCCCCGGGCGGGCGGGCCCGCCCAGCUGUCAGUUACGGGGGCGGCCCGGCAGGCGGGCGCUCGCUGGCUCCCUCCUCGCUGGCUCGUGCUCGUGAGCCUCUCGCCGCCUGUGGGGAAGUCGGGGCCGCCAAAGCCGCGUCCACCGCCGCCUCUUCCCCGCCCUCCUCCCUCCCGGCUCGGCUGCCGGCCCCUCGCGCCCUCCAGUCGUGAGUAACCCGCAUAAGGGCGCGGAGAGUCCCCGCGGCGGCGGCGGCGGUGACGGCGGCGGCGGCGGCCGGCCAAACCAUGUUUCGAAGGAUCUUGCAGAGGACUCCUGGGCGAGUUGGCUCUCAAGGUUCUGAUUUAGAUUCAUCAGCAACUCCUAUAAAUACGGUGGAUGUCAAUAAUGAAAGUUCUUCAGAGGUAUGAAAAUUUAAUAGAGAAUAAAAUUCACUGUGAUUUAAUAGAAAUUAGAAAAUAUAGUAAUGUUUGGAAACAUUAUGCUCAUAGGGAAAGUGUGACUUUUGAGUUAUCUUUAUAGAAGCAUACCAAUGUUUGGUUGUAAGAUUGAAAAACUGUAUAGUAAGAUUGAAAAUUAAUACUACCAGUUUGUCUUUUUUGUCAUCAUCUGAGUUUAAUGAAGAAUAUAUUAAUCUUUUGUAUAUGUAUGUACUGUUAUAAACUAUUAAUUAACUAUUAUAUAUCACAUUUUUCUGGUAUUUUCUGAUUUUACUUUGGACCUGUUAAAUAGUAGAAAUGUAAAUAAGCUUAAAAUUUCAAUUACAAAGCCUUUUAAGUUGUAUUACUACACUUAUUUUAAGAAGUAUUUGUUCAUUAUAGAAAAAGAAGACAUAAAGAAAUCCUAUGUCUAUGUCACUUAGUGGUAAAACCCUAAAUGCUAGGAUAAUCUUCUAAGUCUAGGAACAUAGCAGUUGCCUGCUGUCCGCAGUUGCACUAAAUAUCACUACAGUGCAUAUCACUACAGUGCAUAUCACUACAGUGCAUAUCACUACAGUGCAUAUCACUACAGUGCAUACGCUGCCUCGCUGUCUGCUCUCUCCUUUCUCCUCCCCUUCCCCUCAAAUGGAUCUUGCCAUUGCUGAGUGCUUUUUCUACAUGCAUUGACAUGUUGAUAUGACUUUUCUCUUGUGUUCUGUGAUAAAUUACAUGCACUUAAAACAAUAUUGUUAUACCUUUGUAUUCUUAGGGCAAAUUCACUUGAUAAUGAUGUGUCGUUACCACUAUUUUAAUGUGUUGCUAGGUUUUACUUGUUAAUAUUUUGAGGAUGUUCACCUAUGUUCACAAUACUGAUUCACUUUUGUUGGAGACAAAUCUUACUUUCUGCCCCUGGCUGGCCUUGUAUUUGCUAUGUAAGCAGUCAAAACACAAAACAUUCUCAGAAUGUACCAGGGUAGAUAUGCGUGUUACUAAGAGAAAUCAGCAGGAAAGAGUGAGUAGCGCAACUUCAUGUAGCUGCAGUUGUAGGUAGUUGUGGUGGUUUGAGUAUGCUGGGCCCAUGGGAGGAACCACUAGUAGGAGGUGUGGCUUUGUGGUAGGUGUGGCUUUGUUGGGGAAAGUGUGUCACUGGUGGGGUGGGCUUUGAGGUCCUAUGCUUAAGCUUUACCCUUUGUGGAAGAGUUUCUUCCCGGUUCUUUUGGAUCAAGAUCUAGAAUUCUCAGCCCCAUGUCUGCCUGGACAGUCCCAUACUUCCCACCAUGAUGAUAAUGGACUGAACCUCUGAAACUGUAAGCCAGCCCUAAUUAGAUGUUGGUCAUUAUAAAAGUUGCCUUAGUCAUGGUGUCUCUUCACAGCAAUGAAACCCUAACUAAGACAGUACUUAUCACCG